CUCGGGUUCCCUUCCACACUGUGGAAGCUUUGUUCUUUCGCUCUUUGCAAUAAAUCUUGCUUACUGCUCACUCUUUGGGUCCACACUGCUUUUAUGAGCUGUAACACUCACCGCGAAGGUCUGCAGCUUCACUCCUGAAGCCAGCGAGACCACGAGCCCACCGAGAGGAACGAACUCCAGAGGCGCCGCCUUAAGAGCUGUAACACUCACCGUGAAGGUCUGCAGCUUCACUGCUGAGCCAGCGAGACCACGAACCCACCAGAAGGAAGAAACUCUGAACACAUCCGAACAUCAGAAGGAACAAACUCCAGACGUGCCACCUUAAGAGCUGUAACACUCACCACGAGGGUCGGCGGCUCCAUUCUUAAAGUCAGUGAGACCAAGAACCCACCAGUUCCAGACACACUUUUCUUGCAUUAGAUCCUGUGAUGGUUAAUAUUGAGUGUCAACUUGAUUGAAUUGAAGGAUGCAAAGUAUUGUUCCUGGGUGUGUCUGUGAGGGUGUUGCCAAAGGAGAUUAACACUUGAGUCAGUGAACUGGGAAAGGCAGACCCACCCUCCAUCUGGGUGGGCACCAUCUAAUCAGCUGCCAGCAUGGCUAAAAUAUAAAGCAGGCAGAAGAACAUGAAAAGACUAGACUGGCCUAGUUUCCCAGCCUACAUCUUUCUCCCGUGGUGGAUGCUUCCUGCCCUCAAACAUCAGACUCCAGGUUCUUCAGUUUUAGGACUCGGACUGGCUCUCCUUGCUCCUCAGCUUGCAGAUGGCCUAUUGUGGGACCUUGUGAUUAUGCUCAUCAGAAGCUCAAAAGAAUGCAACCAUUUCUCUCUUACCUACCUGUGACCUGGGCGCCCUUGCACCACUUGGAGUUGUCCUGCCUUUGCCUCAAGUUGUCCUACCUUUUUGGACUGAACCAAUGUACCUCUUACACAUAUUGACUGGUGUCUCGUGUUUCCCUACAGUGUAUAAAACUGAGCUGUGCCCCGACCACCUUGGGCACAUGUCAUCAGAACCUCCUGAGGCUGUGUCACAGGCGUGUAUGUCCUUAACUUUGGCAAAAUAAACUUGCUAAAUUAACUAAGACCUGUCUAGAUUUUCAGGUUCACAGUUGGAGACUCUAUACCCCUUUAUUGCACUAGUUUGAGCUCCUUCAGGCCAACACUAGACAUUUGGCUCCAUGUUAAGGGAAGGACACAGACCCCUUCACGUCCGAGGAAAGGCGGGUGCUGAGCCUUGCCGCUCUCAUCAUCCAAGGACUUGCACUCUGCUUCAGUGUCUCGCUCCUGCUGUCUCUGCCAUCAGUGGCAGACACAGCUAACACUGCGACAGAGCCAGGGACCUAACAGGCUUACUUCAAGGGGCUAACCUGGGCUGCCAAGAACAAUUUCUCCCUGUAACCUGUCAGGAGCGGACAAGGCUGCUGGAAGCUCAUGUAACUUUUCACCACAUGCCGUUUUGAAAUAACUCUAUUCCAUGGGGAAAACCUUCAGAAGACUUUUCUUUGUAAACAGACUUGAUGAUAAAGACAUGCUAAGUCCUAAAACCCAGAGGCUGUCAAGGAUUUUACAUUCUACCAAUUUUGUCUUAUCUCCUGGGCACUGUGGAGUUGAACAGAAGCUAGAGCUAAGUGCUAAACUCACUAGACAUCUGCCAGCAUCCGUCCAUCACAAAUGCGAGGGCCUCCCUGCCAAGUGGGCCACUCUCUCUGGUAUAGGGAAAGAUUCAAAGUUGUUAUGAAUGUUACCUGCAGAUAUUAAAAAGAAAUGAGUUACACGUGUUUGUGUUUUCUGUUCUUACCUUCUCAGAAGUGAAAUGCAGGAGCACACAUAUUGAUCAUGUAAAUUUUUAAAAAAUGAUAAUUCACACACACAUUUGUAC
rnacentral:lncRNA from 1 species